rnacentral:rRNA from 1 species
CAAAGCCGCGAGGUAGAGCAAAUCUCAAAAAAACAUCUCAGUUCAGACUGCAGGCUGCAACUCGCCUGCACGAAGUCGGAAUUGCUAGUAAUCGUGGAUCAGCAUGCCACGGUGAAUACGUUCCCGGGUCUUGUACACACCGCCCGUCACACCAUGGGAGCUGGUAACACCCGAAGUCAGUAGUCUAACCGCAAGGAGGACGCUGCCGAAGGUGGGAUUAGCGACUGGGGUGAAGUCGUAACAAGGUAAC